rnacentral:rRNA from 1 species
AGGAUGAACGCUGGCGGCGUGCUUAACACAUGCAAGUCGAACGAUGAAGGCUGGAGCUUGCUCUGGCUGGAUUAGUGGCGAACGGGUGAGUAACACGUGAGUAACCUGCCCCAGACUCUGGGAUAAGCGCUGGAAACGGCGUCUAAUACCGGAUACGAGCUUCCACCGCAUGGUGAGGAGCUGGAAAGAAUUUCGGUCUGGGAUGGACUCGCGGCCUAUCAGCUUGUUGGUGAGGUAAUGGCUCACCAAGGCGACGACGGGUAGCCGG